AUGAACGCUGGCGGCGGGCCUAAUACCUGCAAGUCGAGCGAACAGACGAGGAGCUUGCUUCUCUGACGUUAGCGGCGGACGGGUGAGUAACACGUGGAUAACCUACCUAUAAGACUGGGAUAACUUCGGGAAACCGGAGCCAAUACCGGAUAAUAUAUUUAACCGCAUGGUUUAAUAGUUAAAGACGGUUUUGCUGUUACUUAUAGAAUGAUCCGCGCCGCAUUAGCUAGUUGGUAAGGUAACGGCUUACCAAGGCAACGAUGCGUAGCCGACCUGAGAGGGUGAUCGGCCACACUGGAACUGAGACACGGUCCAGACUCCUACGGGAGGCAGCAGUAGGGAAUCUUCCGCAAUGGGCGAAAGCCUGACGGAGCAACGCCGCGUGAGUGAUGAAGGUCUUCGGAUCGUAAAACUCUGUUAUUAGGGAAGAACAAAUGUGUAAGUAACUAUGCACGUCUUGACGGUACCUAAUCAGAAAGCCACGGCUAACUACGUG
rnacentral:rRNA from 1 species